AUUCAUCUGACGAGUCCUAAAUGGGACGAAACGAUCGUCCCAAAU
rfam:Schistosoma mansoni strain Puerto Rico chromosome W, complete genome